rnacentral:rRNA from 1 species
AAAGGUCGAACGGCAGCACGGGAGCAAUCCUGGUGGCGAGUGGCGAACGGGUGAGUAAUAUAUCGGAACGUGCCCUGGAGUGGGGGAUAACGCAGCGAAAGUUGCGCUAAUACCGCAUACGAUCUAAGGAUGAAAGCAGGGGACCGCAAGGCCUUGUGCUCCUGGAGCGGCCGAUAUCUGAUUAGCUAGUUGGUGGGGUAAAGGCCUACCAAGGCAUCGAUCAGUAGCUGGUCUGAGAGGACGACCAGCCACACUGGAACUGAGACACGGUCCAGACUCCUACGGGAGGCAGCAGUGGGGAAUUUUGGACAAUGGGCGCAAGCCUGAUCCAGCAAUGCCGCGUGAGUGAAGAAGGCCUUCGGGUUGUAAAGCUCUUUUGUCAGGGAAGAAACGGCAUCGCCUAAUACGAGGUGCUAAUGACGGUACCUGAAGAAUAAGCACCGGCUAACUACGUGCCAGCAGCCGCGGUAAUACGUAGGGUGCAAGCGUUAAUCGGAAUUACUGGGCGUAAAGCGUGCGCAGGCGGUUUUGUAAGAUUGUCGUGAAAUCCCCGGGCUCAACCUGGGAAUGGCGAUGAAGACUGCAAGGCUAGAAUCUGGCAGAGGGGGGUAGAAUUCCACGUGUAGCAGUGAAAUGCGUAGAGAUGUGGAGGAACACCGAUGGCGAAGGCAGCCCCCUGGGUCAAGAUUGACGCUCAUGCACGAAAGCGUGGGGAGCAAACAGGAUUAGAUACCCUGGUAGUCUACGCCCUAAACGAUGUCUACUAGUUGUCGGGUUUUAAUUAACUUGGUAACGCAGCUAACGCGUGAAGUAGACCGCCUGGGGAGUACGGUCGCAAGAUUAAAACUCAAAGGAAUUGACGGGGACCCGCACAAGCGGUGGAUGAUGUGGAUUAAUUCGAUGCAACGCGAAAACCUUACCUACCCUUGACAUGGCUGGAAUUGCU